CUUUUAUUUAGUCGUAUGGUCUGAGUCAGCCUAUUUCCAGGACAGUGGUAAUGCAUGCGUUUGAUUCUUGAAUGCAAAUAUGCUUUCAAUUUUACUAUGCAAAUUCCCUGAUUUUGGUAUACUUCUCGGGGGCUUGCAGCUGGCUAUGUGCUGCUCUCUUCUCUCCUGCUUGAUGGGCUGUGUUCCUGCCAGGCACUGUCAGACAGCCAGUGGCAGCCCUUGGUAGUCCUGCUGGAGCUCCCAAGCUGCUUGGCCCUGUGGGUUCAGUGACAUUUUACUGUUUGUGGGGUAAAGCCCACAUUUUGCACCAAGUUCAUAAAAUUCAUCCGAUUUUUAUUUUCAUAUGUAACAGCGUCAUGAAUCUUUUUUGAAAGUAGCCAUCAAAGUAGCCGUCAGAAGCAACAGGACCUAGAAAGGUUACUUAAAUCCACACAGAUCUGAGUCAAAUUCUGAGACCGUCAGGCUUCCACAUUGAUCAAAUAUGACAAUUUCAUAACUCCCUAGUUUGUUGUGAGAAUUAACUAAGACCACAUAUAAAGGGCCCAGUUCAGUGACUGACCUAUCGCACACAUAGCCCAUGCUAGUUAGUUGCCCCAACUCCUCUUACUUCCUGGUCCUCUGAGAUUCAGGUGAGAAGCAGGAAAUAGAGGCAAGCCAAGUGUAUUAAUCCACCAUCUCUCCUUAAUGGGAAUGAGAAGCUGUGAGACUACGUGGGGCCUUAAAUGUCCCAUUCCCAGCAUCAUCCCCCAUUAAUCCAAACUAACACACAUCCAAUAGUCCAGCCACACUCACCUAUUCACAGUUACUUCCAGGCCUCCACACAUCCUGUUCCUUCUGUCCUCUAUUUGCUUCCCAUCUUUUUUGUAUAACACAAAGUUCUACAGAGCUUUAAUCCCCAAUUUCAGUGUCACCUUCUUGAUGACAUCUGCCCUGCUUGCUUACUCCUCUUCCCAGGCAGAGUCACUCACCACAUACACAAACCUGUCCAUGCACUUAGCAGAGUGUAGGAGUCAUGCUUACCCUUUAGCCAAGUGUAGUGUUGUUGAGUAUUCACUUCUGUCUGGGUCUUACAAGACUAGGGGUUCCUCAAUGGCAGGAGUUUAUAUUUGAAUCCCUAGAAUCCAAUGCAGUACAGCAUACAUUCCAUACUAAACAAAUAUAUAUUGAAUGAAUACAUGAAUGAAUGUCAUAACUGGCAGCUCUCUAAAUGAAGGGAGGGAAAGGUCAUGAAAGAAAUGAAAGAAAAUCAGUCCCGCAAAAUGUUCCCUAACUUUUCUCUAAAGCAUUUCAAGAUCUUUCUGAGCACUCAGCCCCAAACUACUGCGGAGGAAGGUAGUAUCCCAGGCACUGCUCAGGAGUUCUCUCAACAGCAGAGACAAUGGCUGCAGCCAUGUGGGCUCCUGAGCUGCCCCUGCCACUCAGUUUUAUGCUCCAUCCCCCCAUAGUAUCCUGAAAAUAAAGAGGAAUGCUGCUUUGCCAGCAGCCACAGAAGUCACUGGUUUCAGGUGAGUGAUUCUAAGUAAGCUGCGGCCAAUAAAACAGAGAAAACAAAAAGGAGAUGAAGACUUUUUACUCCUGCAGCCUCAGAGAACCCAGAGCUGGAGUGGAGAGUGGCUGGGACAGGAGAUGGAAUAUGAAGGAAGAAUGUUUACAGAAGCAUAAGAGGUGUCCUCCAGGCUCAGAAGACUUGUUGGGCCUAUAUUCUGACCUUCUGAGGAACUAAUGAACAAGCCUGGAAAGUACAGGUGAAUUUCAUGACAUCAACUGCAAAAAAUCACCAUAUCCUGACCAGAUAUCUGAGCAUCACCUGGAGGAGGUCUUGGACAUGAAGAUGCAUUCAGUGACUAAUGGGACUUUGGGUUGGAGGAAGGAAAUGGAUGCGUAAUGACCAGAGGGAAGGAGAUGGCAAAGAAUGCCAGCAUUCACCCAUACCUAUGCUUCCACUGAGAGGGUAGUAAGUGUCCCCAGAAAAAAAAUUCACCAAUUCCAAAUACUCUUGAGAAAUGGCUUUGAUGUUACUACAAUAUUCACUUUAAAAGCUAACUUUUCUUCUGUGACACCAUCUAUCACUGCCUCCUCACUCUCUGCAUAUCUUUGCUGCUAGUGCAGAGGAAAAUGAAAGGGCUGGCAUUCAUCAGGGAAAGAAUAAGGGACGAAGAAAGGGGACUGCAGGACUUUCCAUUUCAGAGAAUACAUCUGACUAUGAAACUGAUGACCCCUCCUUCCCAAAACGAAAAAUGUGCCCUUUAUAUCCACAUGGCUACAAUGACCACCAAAGCCCAAAUCUGGAGUGAGAGAUGUCGGUCCAUAAAGAUCUGCCAUCUUCAGGUCACAUGGUAUUUCCACAAGUAUAAACUCAGUUUGAAAAGAAAAAGAAAGAAAGAUAAUAAGCUUCCCUUAAAAGCUUCCUGCUUCCUACUUUUCCCUCCAGCAUACAUUUAUUCUUAUCGUCCUCCUCAUCCAAUAGUAUUUAUUAAAUGAACACAUUUGCAUGGCACCUUACCUAUGAUUUUCCAUUUCUCUCCAAGGAAGAUUUCCUGGUUUAGAAGUUUUAAUGGCUUCUCCUUUGAAAAUGUCUUAAGAGGGUUUUGACUGUAAUUCCUUUUCUCCUAGCUCUUAUUUAAUAGGCACCAAUGCCUAUCUUUGCCUGGGGUGUUGGGCUAGGGAGAGGAAGAUUCAUUAACCAUGGUGAGUUAUGGAUUUCAAUACCGUGGCUACUUCAUUUCUCAUAUCCAAGUAGAUCAUUUCCUCCCUAGUCCCUCUGAGCCCAAGAAGGCAUAUUUUGUAAGUAGCCUUAAUCUGCUUCAUUAGAAUAUUUUUUUUAACUUUACAAGAAUGAUACCGCCAAUAUUACCAUAUUACUUAUGGUGAUAUGCAUGGCAGUAUAAUCAUACAUUCAUAUUAUGUGGCAGUAAGAGUAGUGAUUUUAGUUGUGAUAGUAAGAGUAAGAAAACCAUAGUUUUAGAGCUUGGAGACAUUAAAAUUAAUCUCAUUUUCAGAUACAGAAACCUAGAUCCAGGGAAGAGAAGUGCUUUGCCUAAGGUUAAUACUGGUGACUAAUGCCUAACUCCAGUGAGUCUGACUCAUAACCUAAUAUGCUCCCCUAUUGCACCCUUUGAGCAUUAAAGUAGCAUGAUACUGACAGAAAGCAAGGCUCUGCUUUUGGUGCCAGAAACAGACAGUGAUGCUGCUCAAGGUUAUUAUAUAGCACACUACAAAAGAGCAGAUGUGUGGUUAAUACACUCUGGAUACAUUUCAGUUGGACAAGUCUCCAUUUUCUCCCUGUCUGUUUCUACUUGUCCUUAUGCCCUGGAGUACUAGCAGAAUAUUUCUCCCUAGGAGACCAGCUGUGUCUUUUCUCAGGGGAAAAGUGUCCCUACCUUCACAAUAUUCUCUAGCUUCCAGCACCAAGUAGACUCUUCCUAAGAAGCAGGGUAGUAGCUCUAUCUGCUAAAAAUGGUAACUGCUUUGGUUUAGGGACUGCGACUUCUCCUCAGAUCUGGCCGUAUGGAAAACUGUAACACUGAUGAAGUUUAUUCUCUCAUCCCUUCUCUAGAGCACUGGUUUCUAACCAGGGGGACUUUGCUCUCCCACCCUGACAACCCAAGGGAAGUCUGGCAACGUCUGGAAAUAUUUUCUGCUGUCCCAACUGAGGGAGCGGUUUUGGUAUCUCACGGGUAAAGGUCAAGAAUGCUUGUGAAAUAUCCUACAGUGCACAGGUCAGCCCCCCAAACAAAAAUGCAAUCAGUCAAAAUGGCAACAUGCUAAGAUUGAAGAACUUGGCCACAGAGUAUUCUCCCCACCUCAGAACCUCAGACCUUGCCUACCAUUGCCAACCUAAAGCUGCUUGCCUACCAUUAUUUGGGGACUUGGCUUUCAGCUACCACAAUAAGAAGUUAAAUCAUCUUCUCUACAGUCUCUCCUAUUAGUAGAGGAAUUCUAAAGCCCAUAGGAGAAACAGGUCUCGACUAUACAUAAAGUUUUCUUGCAUCAUAAAAUUCAAAUUAUAUGAACAUUUACAAAAUGGGGAUUUUUUCUUCUUACUUCAUUGAGUUGAUAUAAAAAUAAUAAAAUAAGAGAGUAAAACAGGAGUUACAAAGGGCAGAGAGCAGGGUGGGAGUGGGGAGAUGUAAGUCAAAGGGCAUUAAGUUGCAGUUAUGUAGCAUGAAUAAGUCUAGAGAUGUAAUGGAUAGCAUAAGAACUAUAAUCAAUAAUAUUGUAUUGUAUAAUGAAAAUUUGCCAGGAGAGUAAUUUUAUCACUAAAAAAGAGCUAUGUGA
rnacentral:lncRNA from 1 species